CGGCCCCUGGACAAGACUGACGCUCAGGUGCGAAAGCGUGGGAGCAAACAGGAUUAGAUACCUGGUAGUCACGCUGUAAACGAUGUCGAUUUGGAGGUUGUUCCCUUGAGGAGUGGCUUCCGGAGCUAACGCGUUAAAUCGACCGCUGGGGAGUACGGCCGCAAGGUUAAAACUCAAAUGAAUUGACGGGGGCCCGCACAAGCGGUGGAGCAUGUGGUUUAAUUCGAUGCAACGCGAAGAACCUUACCUACUCUUGACAUCCAGAGAAUUUAGCAGAGAUGCUUUAGUGCCUUCGGGAACUCUGAGACAGGUGCUGCAUGGCUGUCGUCAGCUCGUGUUGUGAAAUGUUGGGUUAAGUCCCGCAACGAGCGCAACCCUUAUCCUUUGUUGCCAGCACAUUAUGGUGGGAACUCAAAGGAGACUGCCGGUGAUAAACCGGAGGAAGGUGGGGAUGACGUCAAGUCAUCAUGGCCCUUACGAGUAGGGCUACACACGUGCUACAAUGGCGUAUACAAAGAGAAGCGACCUCGCGAGAGCAAGCGGAACUCAUAAAGUACGUCGUAGUCCGGAUUGGAGUCUGCAACUCGACUCCAUGAAGUCGGAAUCGCUAGUAAUCGUAGAUCAGAAUGCUACGGUGAAUACGUUCCCGGGCCUUGUACACACCGCCCGUCACGCCAUGGGAGUGGGUUGCAAAAGAAGUAGGUAGCUUAACCUUCGGGAGGGCGCUUACCACUUUGUGAUUCAUGACUGGGGUGAAGUCGUAACAAGGUAACCA
rnacentral:rRNA from 1 species